CUAUAAGACUGGGAUAACUUCGGGAAACCGGAGCUAAUACCGGAUGACACAAAGGAACUCCUGUUCCUUUGUUGAAAGAUGGCUUCGGCUAUCACUUAUAGAUGGGCCCGCGGCGCAUUAGCUAGUUGGUGAGGUAACGGCUCACCAAGGCGACGAUGCGUAGCCGACCUGAGAGGGUGAUCGGCCACACUGGGACUGAGACACGGCCCAGACUCCUACGGGAGGCAGCAGUAGGGAAUCUUCCGCAAUGGACGAAAGUCUGACGGAGCAACGCCGCGUGAACGAUGAAGGCCUUCGGGUCGUAAAGUUCUGUUGUUAGGGAAGAACAAGUGCUAGUUGAAUAAGCUGGCACCUUGACGGUACCUAACCAGAAAGCCACGGCUAACUACGUGCCAGCAGCCGCGGUAAUACGUAGGUGGCAAGCGUUGUCCGGAAUUAUUGGGCGUAAAGCGCGCGCAGGCGGUUUCUUAAGUCUGAUGUGAAAGCCCCCGGCUCAACCGGGGAGGGUCAUUGGAAACUGGGAAACUUGAGUGCAGAAGAGGAAAGUGGAAUUCCAAGUGUAGCGGUGAAAUGCGUAGAGAUUUGGAGGAACACCAGUGGCGAAGGCGACUUCUGGUC
rnacentral:rRNA from 1 species